UCCCGCGUAGCUCAGUUGGUUAGAGCACCUGACUGUUAAUCAGGGUGUCGCUGGUUCGAGUCCAGCCGCGGGAG
rnacentral:tRNA from 1 species